CACGUAGGCGGAUCCUUAAGUCAGGGGUGAAAUGCCGGGGCUCAACCUCGGAACUGCCUUUGAUACUGGGGAUCUUGAGUCCGGGAGAGGUGAGCGGAACUGCGAGUGUAGAGGUGAAAUUCGUAGAUAUUCGCAAGAACACCAGUGGCGAAGGCGGCUCACUGGCCCGGUACUGACGCUGAGGUGCGAAGGCGUGGGGAGCAAACAGGAUUAGAUACCCUGGUAGUCCACGCCGUAAACGAUGGAUGCUAGCCGUUAGGCGGCUUGCCGCUUAGUGGCGCAGUUAACGCUUUAAGCAUCCCGCCUGGGGAGUACGGUCGCAAGAUUAAA
rnacentral:rRNA from 1 species